rnacentral:rRNA from 1 species
UACGUAGGGUGCAAGCGUUGUCCGGAAUUAUUGGGCGUAAAGAGCUCGUAGGCGGUUUGUCGCGUCUGCUGUGAAAACUCGGGGCUUAACUCCGGGCCUGCAGUGGGUACGGGCAGACUAGAGUGCGGUAGGGGAGACUGGAAUUCCUGGUGUAGCGGUGGAAUGCGCAGAUAUCAGGAGGAACACCAAUAGCGAAGGCAGCUCGCUGGGACGGUACUGACGCUAAGGCGCGAAA